rnacentral:rRNA from 1 species
GACGAACGCUGGCGGCGUGCUUAACACAUGCAAGUCGAACGGAAAGGCCCUGCUUUUGUGGGGUGCUCGAGUGGCGAACGGGUGAGUAACACGUGAGUAACCUGCCCUUGACUUUGGGAUAACUUCAGGAAACUGGGGCUAAUACCGGAUAGGAGCUCCUGCUGCAUGGUGGGGGUUGGAAAGUUUCGGCGGUUGGGGAUGGACUCGCGGCUUAUCAGCUUGUUGGUGGGGUAGUGGCUUACCAAGGCUUUGACGGGUAGCCGGCCUGAGAGGGUGACCGGUCACAUUGGGACUGAGAUACGGCCCAGACUCCUACGGGAGGCAGCAGUGGGGAAUACUGCACAAUGGGCGGAAGCCUGAUGCAGCAACGCCGCGUGCGGGAUGACGGCCUUCGGGUUGUAAACCGCUUUCGCCUGUGACGAAGCGUGAGUGACGGUAAUGGGUAAAGAAGCACCGGCUAACUACGUG